AGAGUUUGAUCAUGGCUCAGAUUGAACGCUGGCGGCAGGCCUAACACAUGCAAGUCGAACGGUAACAGGAAGCAGCUUGCUGCUUCGCUGACGAGUGGCGGACGGGUGAGUAAUGUCUGGGAAACUGCCUGAUGGAGGGGGAUAACUACUGGAAACGGUGGCUAAUACCGCAUAACGUCGCAAGACCAAAGAGGGGGACCUUCGGGCCUCUUGCCAUCAGAUGUGCCCAGAUGGGAUUAGCUUGUUGGUGAGGUAAUGGCUCACCAAGGCGACGAUCCCUAGCUGGUCUGAGAGGAUGACCAGCCACACUGGAACUGAGACACGGUCCAGACUCCUACGGGAGGCAGCAGUGGGGAAUAUUGCACAAUGGGCGCAAGCCUGAUGCAGCCAUGCCGCGUGUAUGAAGAAGGCCUUCGGGUUGUAAAGUACUUUCAGCGGGGAGGAAGGUGUUGCGGUUAAUAACCGCAGCAAUUGACGUUACCCGCAGAAGAAGCACCGGCUAACUCCGUGCCAGCAGCCGCGGUAAUACGGAGGGUGCAAGCGUUAAUCGGAAUUACUGGGCGUAAAGCGCACGCAGGCGGUCUGUCAAGUCGGAUGUGAAAUCCCCGGGCUCAACCUGGGAACUGCAUUCGAAACUGGCAGGCUUGAGUCUUGUAGAGGGGGGUAGAAUUCCAGGUGUAGCGGUGAAAUGCGUAGAGAUCUGGAGGAAUACCGGUGGCGAAGGCGGCCCCCUGGACAAAGACUGACGCUCAGGUGCGAAAGCGUGGGGAGCAAACAGGAUUAGAUACCCUGGUAGUCCACGCCGUAAACGAUGUCUACUUGGAGGUUGUGCCCUUGAGGCGUGGCUUCCGGAGCUAACGCGUUAAGUAGACCGCCUGGGGAGUACGGCCGCAAGGUUAAAACUCAAAUGAAUUGACGGGGGCCCGCACAAGCGGUGGAGCAUGUGGUUUAAUUCGAUGCAACGCGAAGAACCUUACCUGGUCUUGACAUCCACAGAACUUUCCAGAGAUGGAUUGGUGCCUUCGGGAACUGUGAGACAGGUGCUGCAUGGCUGUCGUCAGCUCGUGUUGUGAAAUGUUGGGUUAAGUCCCGCAACGAGCGCAACCCUUAUCCUUUGUUGCCAGCGGUCCGGCCGGGAACUCAAAGGAGACUGCCAGUGAUAAACUGGAGGAAGGUGGGGAUGACGUCAAGUCAUCAUGGCCCUUACGACCAGGGCUACACACGUGCUACAAUGGCGCAUACAAAGAGAAGCGACCUCGCGAGAGCAAGCGGACCUCAUAAAGUGCGUCGUAGUCCGGAUUGGAGUCUGCAACUCGACUCCAUGAAGUCGGAAUCGCUAGUAAUCGUGGAUCAGAAUGCCACGGUGAAUACGUUCCCGGGCCUUGUACACACCGCCCGUCACACCAUGGGAGUGGGUUGCAAAAGAAGUAGGUAGCUUAACCUUCGGGAGGGCGCUUACCACUUUGUGAUUCAUGACUGGGGUGAAGUCGUAACAAGGUAACCGUAGGGGAACCUGCGGUUGGAUCACCU
rnacentral:rRNA from 1 species